rnacentral:rRNA from 1 species
GAUGAACGCUGGCGGCGUGCCUAAUACAUGCAAGUCGAGCGAACAGACGAGGAGCUUGCUUCUCUUACGUUAGCGGCGGACGGGUGAGUAACACGUGGAUAACCUACCUAUAAGACUGGGAUAACAUCGGGAAACCGCAGCUAAUACCGGAUAAUAUAAUGAACCGCCAUGGGCAAUAGUGAAAGACGGUUUUGCUGUCCAUUAUAGAUGGAUCCGCUCUGCAUUAGCUAGUUGGUAAGGUAACGGCUUACCCAAGCAACGAUGGGUAGCCGCCCUGAGAGGGUGGACGGCCACACUGGAACAGAGACACGGUCGAGACUCUGGCGUGGGGCAGCAGUCGGGAAUCUUCCGCGAUGGGGGAAUGGGGGACGGUGCAACGCCGCGGGAGUGAUGAAGGUCUUCGGAUCGUAGAACGCUGAUAGUAGGGAGAAACUAAUGUGUAAGUAUCUGUGCACAUAUUGACGGUACCUAAUAAGAAAGCCACGGCUAACUACGUG